GGCUAACUAAACAUCUAUCAGCUCCUCUGUGUUUAAACACAGUGGUCCUCUUUGUGCUGCAGGUUGUUUUGUUUUGAGGCCUGGUCGCAAUUGCUGAUGUCACUACACAUAUUUUGGAAAAAAGACGCAAGCAUGCAUCUACAGAUUUAACCUUUUUCUCAGAGGAAGAACUUACUGGCUAUGGUACUAUAUUGUGAAAGCCAAGGUUCUUCAUUAAUUUAGACAACUUAAGGGUACCCUGAGGAGAUGAGAUCAGGACCUUCAGAUUAUGAGACUCACGCCCUGCCAGCUGUGCUAAGAGGGCUCCUGAGGAGAUGAGAUGAAACAUAGAUGGACAAUGAUCUGGGAAAUCCGAGGGACUCGAUUUAGACCAGAACAGCUCGUGGAAGAGAAAACACAGCAAACAAAGUGCACUGGAAGCACCGUUUAACUUCGUCAGGUUUGUGGCACCUGGUUUUUGAAUUAAUGCUGUUUCUUGAGUUUAGAAAUAAAUCGCACACAUUUUUGCUUUAGGAGCACUUAGAGAAAGAACAGCAUCACCCAUCUCUAAAAGGAUUUCCCAGUGGAUAAACUGCUAAGGAAACAUGUUUGUGUUCACACUUCAAAUAGAAAUAUUUACUAUUCAGACUCUGUACUUGAAUUUUUUUUUAAAUCAAGUAACUAAGUUGGCUUUUUGUGAAUGAUGACCCAAAUCAGGGC
rnacentral:lncRNA from 1 species